rnacentral:rRNA from 1 species
UACGAAGGGUGCAAGCGUUGUUCGGAAUCACUGGGCGUAAAGAAUGCGUAGGCGGCUAGACAAGUCAGGAGUGAAAUCCCAGGGCUCAACCCUGGAACUGCUCUUGAAACUGUCUUGCUAGAGUCCCGGAGGGGUUAGCGGAAUUCCGAGUGUAGAGGUGAAAUUCGCAGAUAUUCGGAGGAACACCAGUGGCGAAGGCGGCUAACUGGACGGGAACUGACGCUGAGGCAUGAAAGUGUGGGGAUCAAACAGGAUUAGAUACCCUGGUAGUCCACACCGUAAACGAUGUGUGCUAGUUGUCGGGCAGCUUUGCUGUUCGGUGACGGAGCUAACGUUUUAAGCACACCGCCUGGGAAGUACGGCCGCAAGGUUAAA